rnacentral:rRNA from 1 species
UACGGGGGGGGCAAGCGUUGUUCGGAAUUACUGGGCGUAAAGGCUCGUAGGUGGCCAACUAAGUCAGACGUGAAAUCCCUCAGCUUAACUGGGGAACUGCGUCUGAUACUGGAUGGCUUGAGUUUGGGAGAGGGAUGCGGAAUUCCAGGUGUAGCGGUAGAAAUGCGUAGAUAUCUGGAGGAACACCGGUGGCGAAGGCGGCAUCCUGGACCAACACUGACACUGAGGAGCGAAAGCCAGGGGAGCAAACGGG